GGUGGCUCAGUGGUAGAGUGCUUGCCUUGCAUGCAUGAGGACCUGGGUUUGAUUCCCCAGCACCA
rnacentral:tRNA from 1 species